CAGGCAUCAAGGAAAGGCCAUAGGUUCAGAGAAGUUAAGCCGCUGGCUCGAGGUUCCUCAGCUAACACGUGGCAGAGUGGGGCCCUGCCGCGGCGUCUGGCUCUUUCCACUGAGCUGCACUGCCGCUUAGUUGGCCACCCUUUGGAAAGCAGCGCUGGAGAUUUUCCAUCUUGAUAAUGAACCGUGCCUUAUAAAGAAGCUGUUGGCCCAGGGGGAAGAAGGGAAUGGGUGAGGGGAGCUGUGCUCCUCAGAAGCUGCCACUGAUUUUGCCCCUGCCAGCAAAGGACAGAGAUCCAGAGUGGCAGCACAAGGCCCCACCAGGGGAUGGAACCAGUGAGGCUGCCCGGAAGGCAAGCUGGAGGAGCAUGCAAGGCCCCGCGGGA
ensembl:lncRNA